UGGAAACUNUCUGACUUGAGUGCAGAAGGGGAGAGUGGAAUUCCAUGUGUAGCGGUGAAAUGCGUAGAUAUAUGGAGGAACACCAGUGGCGAAAGCGGCUCUCUGNUCUGUCACUGACGCUGAGGCUCGAAAGCGUGGGUAGCGAACAGGAUUAGAUACCCUGGUAGUCCACGCCGUAAACGACGAGUGCUAGGUGUUAGGCCCUUUCCGGGGCUUAGUGCCGGAGCUAACGCAAUAAGCACUCCGCCUGGGGAGUACGACCGCAAGGUUGAAACUCAAAGGAAUUGACGGGGGCCCGCACAAGCGGUGGAGCAUGUGGUUUAAUUCGAAGCAACGCGAAGAACCUUACCAGGUCUUGACAUCCCGAUGCUAUUCUUAGAGAUAGGAAGUUACUUCGGUACAUCGGAGACAGGUGGUGCAUGGUUGUCGUCAGCUCGUGUCGUGAGAUGUUGGGUUAAGUCCCGCAACGAGCGCAACCCUUAUUGUUAGUUGCCAUCAUUAAGUUGGGCACUCUAGCGAGACUGCCGGUAAUAAACCGGAGGAAGGUGGGGAUGACGUCAAAUCAUCAUGCCCCUUAUGACCUGGGCUACACACGUGCUACAAUGGUCGGUACAACGAGUUGCGAGCCGGUGACGGCAAGCUAAUCUCUGAAAGCCGAUCUCAGUUCGGAUUGGAGGCUGCAACUCGCCUCCAUGAAGUCGGAAUCGCUAGUAAUCGCGGAUCAGCACGCCGCGGUGAAUACGUUCCCGGGCCUUGUACACACCGCCCGUCACACCACGAGAGUUUGUAACACCCGAAGNCGGUGAGGUAACCUUUUAGGGGCCAGCCGCCU
rnacentral:rRNA from 1 species